GGUGAACGCUAGCGGCGCGCCUAAUACAUGCAAGUCGUGCGCGAAAGUCUGACCCCGCAAGGGGAAGGAUGAGUAGAGCGGCGAACGGGUGAGUAACACGUAGCUAACCUACCCCCGCGACGGGGACAACUCCGGGAAACUGGAGCUAAUCCCCGAUGGUAUUUAGAGCGCAUAAGCGCUUUAAAUUAAAGGCGGCGAUUGCUUCGGCAGUGGCCGCGCGCGGGGAGGGGGCUGCGGCCUAUCAGCUGGUUGGUAGGGUAACGGCCUACCAAGGCUCAGACGGGUAGGGGGCGUGAGAGCGUGGCCCCCCACAUGGGGACUGAGACACGGCCCUGACUCCUACGGGAGGCAGCAUG
rnacentral:rRNA from 1 species